UACGUAGGGGGCAAGCGUUAUCCAGAUUUACUGGGUGUAAAGGGAGCGUAGGCGGUGAUGCAAGUCAGAAGUGAAAGCCCGCAGCUCAACUGCGGGACUGCUUUUGAAACUGUAUGACUAGAUUGCAGGAGAGGUAAGUGGAAUUCCUAGUGUAGCGGUGAAAUGCGUAGAUAUUAGGAGGAACACCAGUGGCGAAGGCGGCUUACUGGACUGUAAAUGACGCUGAGGCUCGAAAGCGUGGGGAGCAAACAGG
rnacentral:rRNA from 1 species